UACGAGGGGUGCAAACGUUGCUCGGAAUUAUUGGGCGUAAAGCGCACGUAGGCGGCUUUGCAAGUCGGAUGUGAAAUCCCUCGGCUUAACCAAGGAAGUGCAUCCGAAACUGCAGAGCUUGAGUACUUAAGAGGAUCGCGGAAUUCCCGGUGUAGAGGUGAAAUUCGUAGAUAUCGGGAGGAACACCAGUGGCGAAGGCGGCGAUCUGGGAAGAUACUGACGCUGAGGUGCGAAAGCGUGGGGAGCAAACAGG
rnacentral:rRNA from 1 species